rnacentral:rRNA from 1 species
UUCAUUUGACGUUAGCUGCAGAAGAAGCACCGGCUAACUCCGUGCCAGCAGCCGCGGUAAUACGGAGGGUGCGAGCGUUAAUCGGAAUUACUGGGCGUAAAGCGCAUGCAGGUGGUUUGUUAAGUCAGAUGUGAAAGCCCGGGGCUCAACCUCGGAAUUGCAUUUGAAACUGGCAAACUAGAGUACUGUAGAGGGGGUAGAAUUUCAGGUGUAGCGGUGAAAUGCGUAGAGAUCUGAAGGAAUACCGGUGGCGAAGGCGGCCCCCCUGGACAGAUACUGACACUCAGAUGCGAAAGCGUGGGGAGCAAACAGGAUUAGAUACCCUGGUAG